rnacentral:RNase_P_RNA from 1 species
GAACUGUCCGAGGAAAGUCCGAGCUCCACAGAGCAAGAAUAACGGCUAACGGCCGCCGGGGGCGACCCCAGGGAAAGUGCAACAGAGAUAUACCGCCUUAAAAUUUAAGGUAAGGGUGGAAAGGCGAGGUAAGAGCUCACCGGAGUCGGGGGAACCCGACUGCCAUGUAAACCCUAUUCGGAGCAACACCGUGGUAGGACAUAUACGCUUGCUCGGCGUGUCCUUUGGAGGUGGCACUGAGCAGUGCAGGCAACUCACUGCCAAGAUAGAUGGCUGUUCACGACAGAACUCGGCUUAUCGAUUUAGU